AUUCCAGCUCCAAUAGCGUAUAUUUUAGUUGUUGCAGUUAAAAAGCUCGUAGUUGAAUUUCUGGUGGGAAGAUGCGGACGGCCUCAUGGCUUGUUCCAAGUCUUCCGGCCAUCCUUGGGUGGAGCUCGUCUGGCAUUAAGUUGUCGGGCGGGGGAUGCCCAUCGUUUACUGUGAAAAAAUUAAAGUGUUCAAAGCAGACUUAUGUCGGUGAAUAUAUUAGCAUGGAAUAAUAAGAUAGGACAGCAGUGCUAUUUUGUUGGUUUGCGCACCGUUGUAAUGAUGAAUAGGGACAGUUGUGGGUAUUUAUAUUCACUUGUAAGAGGUGAAAUUCUUAGAUUAAGGGAAGAUAAACUACUGCGAAAGCAUUUACCAAGGACGUUUUCAUCA
rnacentral:rRNA from 1 species